rnacentral:rRNA from 1 species
UGGUUCUAUGGGUGCAGCCUGAUCCAGCCAUGCCGCGUGCGUGAUGACGGCCUUCUGGUUGUAAACUCUUUUUGUGGGGGAAAAAUGGCCCUUCCGUGGGACCUUGAUCGUGCCUUGUCCCUAACACCAGGCUAACUACUUCUCUGUGCCCGCGGCCACACUUAUGUGGCGGGCGUUAUCGUGAUUUAUUGUUUUUAGGCGUUGCGUACGCGUCCUGACCUUUUUUAGGUGAAAUGCCCAUGCUCAGGCUGGACCCUGCCAGUGCAUUUGUUGGGAUUGAGUUCGAAUGAGGUAGGCGGAAUUGAAAUUUGUAGGUGUGAAAUGCAAAUUUGUCGACGGGAACACCAAUAUCGUUGGCGACUUACUAUUCCGUAACUGACGCUGACGCACAAGAGUGUGG